UACGGAGGAUCCGAGCGUUACCCGGAUUUAUUGGGUUUAAAGGGAGCGUAGAUGGAUGUUUAAGUCAGUUGUGAAAGUUUGCGGCUCAACCGUAAGAUUGCAGUUGAUACUGGAUAUCUUGAGUGCAGUUGAGGCAGGCGGAACUCGUGGUGUAGCGGUGAAAUGCUUAGAUAUCACGAAGAACUCCGAUUGCGAAGGCAGCCUGCUAAGCUGCAACUGACAUUGAGGCUCGAAAGUGUGGGUAUCAAACAGG
rnacentral:rRNA from 1 species